GUGAGUGUAGCUCAGGGGUAGAGCGCCGGACUGUGGCUCCGGUGGUCGCGGGUUCAAAUCCCGUCACUCACCCCA
rnacentral:tRNA from 1 species